AGAGUUUGAUCCUGGCUCAGGACAAACGCUGGCGGCGUGCCUAACACAUGCCAAGUCGAGCGUGAAAAGGGGCUUCGGGCCCCGAGUAAAGCGGCGAACGGGUGAGUAACACGUGGGCAACCUGCCUCAAGGACUGGGAUAACCCCGGGAAACCGGGGCUAAUACCGGACGAUGUCGCCCCGCACAGGCGGGUCGACCAAAGGUAGCUUCGGCCUCCGCCUUGAGAUGGGCCCGCGUCCUAUCAGCUUGUUGGUGAGGUAACGGCUCACCAAGGCUACGACGGGUAGCUGGUCUGAGAGGAUGAUCAGCCACACUGGGACUGAGAUACGGCCCAGACUCCUACGGGAGGCAGCAGUGGGGAAUAUUGCACAAUGGGGGAAACCCUGAUGCAGCAACGCCGCGUGGAGGAUGACGCAUUUCGGUGUGUAAACUCCUUUUUAUAAGGGGAAGAUAAUGACGGUACCUUAUGAAUAAGCACCGGCUAACUCCGUGCCAGCCGCCGCGGUAAUA
rnacentral:rRNA from 1 species